rnacentral:SRP_RNA from 1 species
UGACGGAGGGAUCAGCCGCCUCCUGCGCCGCGACCCCGGCGAGAGGCGGGGUCCGAGGGUCGCUGGCCGCCGAAAGCCGCCUGUUCAGGCCCGUC